AGUUCACGCCACGCUUUAGAACGGGCGAAACCGCGAAUGGCUCAGGAACCGGACCUAAUCCUCGGGACCGUAAUCCUCCUCUUUGGAGGCGAUGGAUAACUGUGGCAAUUCUAGAGCUAAUACAUGUGACACAAGCCGCGAUCGGUCGGCGCGCAGCCGUCGCUCUCGCCUUUACUGUGCGUGGGCAACCCGCGUCGAUCGUUCCGGGUCGCGGCGCUACAUAUUAGACUGAGACCGAUGCGCGUUCUUCCGUCCUCCCGUUUUGCUCGCGGNCCUCCCCCUGUCGCGACUCGUUUGCGGCAGGGGAACCCGUGUGGCGGGGCGGGGCUACUAUGGGCGGCGCGCUCCGCUUUGGUGACUCUGGAUAACUCACUGGUCGAUCGCACCGGCUUUCAUGCCUGGCGACGGGUCUCUCGAGGGUCCGCCCUAUCAACUGUCGACGGUCGGUUAAGUGCCUACCGUGGUUACUACGGGUAACGGGGAAUCGGGGUUCGAUUCCGGAGAGGGAGCAUGCGAAACGGCUACCACAUCCAAGGAAGGCAGCAGGCGCGCAAAUUACCCACUCCCGGCACGGGGAGGUAGUGACGAAAAAUAACGACGCGGGACUCUGUCGAGGCCCCGCGAUCGGAAUGAGUACACUUCAAAUCCGUUAACGAGGACCAACCGGAGGGCAAGUCUGGUGCCAGCAGCCGCGGUAAUUCCAGCUCCGGUAGCGUAUAUUAAAGUUGUUGCGGUUAAAAAGCUCGUAGUCCGAACUCGGGUUCGUGGUCGCUCGCGCGGCCCCGGGGCGGCGGCGCCAUCGUCCGUCGUUGACUUUGGUCGUCCGUUCGCAUUCCCGGCCCUUUCCGCCGGUGUCGACUGCCAUGUACAUCCGCCUCGCGGUCCUGCCGGCGGGAAUCUUUUGCGCGGUCGUCCGGGUUGGGGGUUGGCGUUUAUUUCGGGGGCGGUUCCGGUGGCGUCGCGGUUGGUCUCCGACCGGCAGCUUCGUCUCCUCGUCUCCUUCUUAUCGCCUCUCUCCUCGCCUCACGUCGCCGUGCAAAGCUCUCGUCGUGCGCGCGUGUUUGCGGUCGGGCGGUUUCUCCUCCAAGGGUGCUCUUAACCGAGUGUCCGCGGCGGCCGGUACGUUCACUUUGAAAAAAUUAGAGUGCUCAGAGCGGGCUGUUCAAGCUUGCAUACGAUAAGCAUGGAAUGAUGGAAGAGGGCCUCGUCUACGUCUGUCGGUCUCCGUCUACGGCGAGGCAAUGAUCGAAGGGAGCGGUCGGGGCCACUCGUAUUGCGACGUUAGAGGUGAAAUUCUUGGAUCGUCGCAAGACGAACUGCAGCGAUGGCGUGUGGCAAGCACGUUUUCCUCGAUCAAGAGCGAAAGUCGGAGGUUCGAAGACGAUCAGAUACCGUCGUAGUUCCGACCGUAAACGAUGCCGACCGGCGAUCCGCCGGCGUUCGCUUCCAUGACCCGGCGGGUAGCCUGCGGGAAACCAGAGUUCGGUUCCGGGGGGAGUAUGGUUGCAAAGCUGAAACUUAAAGGAAUUGACGGAAGGGCACCACCAGGAGUGGAGCCUGCGGCUUAAUUUGACUCAACACGGGAAAACUCACCCGGUCCGGACACCGGUAGGAUUGACAGAUCGAUAGCUCUUUCUCGAUUCGGUGGGUGGUGGUGCAUGGCCGUUCUUAGUUGGUGGAGCGAUCCGUCUGGUUGAUUCCGAUAACGAACGAGACUCCGGCCUGCUAACUAGUGCGCCGAUGUGUGUGCGUUUUUCGCUACGGCGGGCUCGGGCCGUGCGUGUUCGGUCGCGCGUUUGUCUCGUGCGUUUCCUUCUCGCGUUUUCGUUUUUUCGUUCGGUGGGUUUUGGGGGGCGGCAGGCGUGUCGGGAGGG
rnacentral:rRNA from 1 species